UACGUAGGGGGCAAGCGUUGUCCGGAUUUAUUGGGCGUAAAGAGCGUGUAGGCGGCCUGACAGGUCUGCUGUGAAAACUCGAGGCUCAACCUCGAGAUGUCGGCGGAAACCGUCUGGCUAGAGUCCGGAAGAGGAGAAUGGAAUUCCCGGUGUAGCGGUGAAAUGCGUAGAGAUGGGGGAGAACACGCGUGGCGAAGGCGGCCAGCUAGACCAGUUCUGACACUGAGGCGCGACAGCGUGGGGAGCAAACAGG
rnacentral:rRNA from 1 species